GCAGCAGUKAGGAAUAUUGGUCAAUGGGCGCAAGUCUGAACCAGCCAUGUCGCGUGCAGGAUGACGGCCCUAUGGGUUGUAAACUGCUUUUGUACGGGAASAAAUAUAUUUACGUGUAAGKAUUUGCCGGUACCGUAMGAAUAAGSAUCGGCUAACUCCGYGCCAGCAGCCGCGGUAAUACGGAGGAUKCGAGCGUUAUCCGGAUUUAUUGGGUUUAAAGGGUGCGUAGGCGGAAAAUUAAGUCAGUGGUGAAAUCCCAGAGCUCAACUCUGGAAYUCCCAUUGAUACCGGUUGUCUUGAAUUUAGUGGAGGUGGGCGGUAUASGUUAGGUAGCGGUGAAAUGCAUAGUUAUAAUGUAGAAUACCGAUUGCGAAUGCAGCUCACUAAACUAAUAUUGACGCGAAGSACGAAAGCGUGGGGAUCRAACAGGAUUAGAUACCCUGGUAGUCCACGCCGUAAACGAUGAUUACUCGUUGUGCCGAUACCCMKCUGGGGACUGAGCGAAAGCAUUAAGUUUCCA
rnacentral:rRNA from 1 species